rfam:Lepisosteus oculatus linkage group LG10, whole genome shotgun sequence.
GCCAGCAGCCAUGUCACCCUUCAACUCACAACUGGCAACCCACUGAAGCUCAGCAGGUGUGAGCCUGGUCAGUACCUGGAUAGGAGACCUCCUGGGAAAAACUAAGGUUGCUGCUGGAA